CUUCGCAUGGACGAAGUCUGACGGAGCAACGCCGCGUGAGUGAUGAAGGUUUUCGGAUCGUAAAGCUCUGUUGUUAGGGAAGAACAAGUGCCGUUCAAAUAGGGCGGCACCUUGACGGUACCUAACCAGAAAGCCACGGCUAACUACGUGCCAGCAGCCGCGGUAAUACGUAGGUGGCAAGCGUUGUCCGGAAUUAUUGGGCGUAAAGGGCUCGCAGGCGGUUUCUUAAGUCUGAUGUGAAAGCCCCCGGCUCAACCGGGGAGGGUCAUUGGAAACUGGGGAACUUGAGUGCAGAAGAGGAGAGUGGAAUUCCACGUGUAGCGGUGAAAUGCGUAGAGAUGUGGAGGAACACCAGUGGCGAAGGCGACUCUCUGGUCUGUAACUGACGCUGAGGAGCGAAAGCGUGGGGAGCGAACAGGAUUAGAUACCCUGGUAGUCCACGCCGUAAACGAUGAGUGCUAAGUGUUAGGGGGUUUCCGCCCCUUAGUGCUGCAGCUAACGCAUUAAGCACUCCGCCUGGGGAGUACGGUCGCAAGACUGAAACUCAAAGGAAUUGACGGGGGCCCGCACAAGCGGUGGAGCAUGUGGUUUAAUUCGAAGCAACGCGAAGAACCUUACCAGGUCUUGACAUCCUCUGACACCCCUAGAGAUAGGGCUUCCCCUUCGGGGGCAGAGUGACAGGUGGUGCAUGGUUGUCGUCAGCUCGUGUCGUGAGAUGUUGGGUUAAGUCCCGCAACGAGCGCAACCCUUGAUCUUAGUUGCCAGCAUUCAGUUGGGCACUCUAAAGUGACUGCCGGUGACAAACCGGAGGAAGGUGGGGAUGACGUCAAAUCAUCAUGCCCCUUAUGACCUGGGCUACACACGUGCUACAAUGGACAGAACAAAGGGCAGCGAGACCGCGAGGUUAAGCCAAUCCCACAAAUCUGUCUCAGUUCGGAUCGGCAGUCUGCAACUCGACUGCGUGAAGCUGGAAUCCCUAGGUAAUCGCGGAUCACAUGCCGCGGUGAAUACGUUCCCGGGCGCUGUACACCUCCGCCCGUCCCACCACGAGAAGUUUGUAACACCCGAAUUCGCGAAGUAACGUUAUGGAGCUGCCCCGAAG
rnacentral:rRNA from 1 species